rnacentral:misc_RNA from 1 species
GAUGAAGAACGCAGCGAAAUGCGAUAAGUAAUGUGAAUUGCAGAAUUCAGUGAAUCAUCGAAUCUUUGAACGCACAUUGCGCCCAUUAGUAUUCUCGUGGGCAUGCCUGUUCGAGCGUCAUUAAGUCCACUUAAGCCCUGCUUAGUGUUGGGAGACUGCUCCAGCGGUGCUACCCUGUAGCUACCCUGCAGCUCCUCAAAGACAGCGGCGGAGUUGUGGUAUCCUCUGAGCUUAGUAACUUGUUCUAGCUUUCGAGUACACCACUUCCCCUGCCGUAAAACCCUUAAUUUUUAAUGGUUGACCUCGGAUCAGGUAGGAAUACCCGCUGAACUUAAGCAUAUCAAUAAGCGGAGGA